rnacentral:misc_RNA from 1 species
GUAUUUUGAAUUAUGUUUAUUCAUGAUACAAUGAUUCAGACAAACUAGUUAAAAAUAGAUUGAUUUUAAAGAGAGUGACACCUCAGGGACACGUGUCGCCGAAACGAACGUGUCACACCUCGGUUUCACUUCUUAACGUUGCACACAAGGUGGGUAUGGAUUUUUUAGAGUGCCAUAAACACUCGUUAUGAAUGAUCCUUCCGCAGGUUCACCUACGGAAA